GCCAAGCCCUCUUCCAAAUGGACUACUCAUACAGUAAAGCUUAUUAGCCAGUUUGUCUCAUACCAAGAUGCUGCUGCAAAAGAAUUAGAGUUAUUCCUUACAUCAGAAGCUGAAUCGCAGAGUGAUAACGGUGAAGAUUUACCGAACAAUAAUAAUGAUAGUACUAGCAGCGACGAUGAAUGUAUUCAAAUAUUAAAGAAAAAAAAACCAAAUGAAAACCACCAACUAAUUCCGACUUACAAUACUGAAUGUGCAGUUGAAUGCUCGGUAUCAUGUAUGUACAGUUAAACUUUUUUCUAUUACCUACCUAUUUUGUAUAUAAUUUUAUAUAAUGUUCCAAUGUAUGUUUUCCUUUAUAAUUUGUUUCAAUUUUCUGUUAGCUCCAUUGAAAACAAUGUAUGACAUGGACGCCAAUUCUGUAAUUGACAAUAAUAAUAUGUA